AUUGAACGCUGGCGGCAGGCUUAACACAUGCAAGUCGAGCGGGGUGAUGGUGCUUGCACUAUCACUUAGCGGCGGACGGGUGAGUAAUGCUUAGGAAUCUGCCUAUUAGUGGGGGACAACAUCUCGAAAGGGAUGCUAAUACCGCAUACGUCCUACGGGAGAAAGCAGGGGAUCACUUGUGACCUUGCGCUAAUAGAUGAGCCUAAGUCGGAUUAGCUAGUUGGGGGGGGAAAGGCCUACCAAGGCGACGAUCGUGAGCGGGGCUGAGAGGAUGAUCCGCCACACUGGGACUGGAACACGGACCAGACUCCUACGGGAGGCAGCAGUGGGGAAUAUUGGACAAUGGGGGGAACCCUGAUCCAGCCAUGCCGCGUGUGUGAAGAAGGCCUUAUGGUUGUAAAGCACUUUAAGCGAGGAGGAGGCUCUUUUGGUUAAUACCCAAGAUGAGUGGACGUUACUCGCAGAAUAAGCACCGGCUAACUCUGUGCCAGCCGCCGCCGUAA
rnacentral:rRNA from 1 species